rnacentral:hammerhead_ribozyme from 1 species
UUUUUGCUGACGAGUCCAAAAUAGGACGAAAGGCGCGUCCUAGAU